UACGGAGGGUGCAAGUGUUAUCCGGAUUCACUGGGUUUAAAGGGUGCGUAGGCGGGCAGGUAAGUCAGUGGUGAAAUCUCCGAGCUUAACUCGGAAACUGCCGUUGAUACUAUUUGUCUUGAAUAUUGUGGAGGUAAGCGGAAUAUGUCAUGUAGCGGUGAAAUGCUUAGAUAUGACAUAGAACACCAAUUGCGAAGGCAGCUUACUACAGGAAUAUUGACACUGAUGCACGAAAGCGUGGGGAUCAAACAGG
rnacentral:rRNA from 1 species